rnacentral:rRNA from 1 species
ACGCUGGCGGCAGGCCUAACACAUGCAAGUCGAGCGGUAGAGAGAAGCUUGCUUCUCUUGAGAGCGGCGGACGGGUGAGUAAUGCCUAGGAAUCUGCCUGGUAGUGGGGGAUAACGUUCGGAAACGGACGCUAAUACCGCAUACGUCCUACGGGAGAAAGCAGGGGACCUUCGGGCCUUGCGCUAUCAGAUGAGCCUAGGUCGGAUUAGCUAGUUGGUGGGGUAAUGGCUCACCAAGGCGACGAUCCGUAACUGGUCUGAGAGGAUGAUCAGUCACACUGGAACUGAGACACGGUCCAGACUCCUACGGGAGGCAGCAGUGGGGAAUAUUGGACAAUGGGCGAAAGCCUGAUCCAGCCAUGCCGCGUGUGUGAAGAAGGUCUUCGGAUUGUAAAGCACUUUAAGUUGGGAGGAAGGGUUGUAGAUUAAUACUCUGCAAUUUUGACAUUACCGACAGAAUAAGCACCGGCUAACUCUGUGCCAGCAGCCGCGGUAAUACAGAGGGUGCAAGCGUUAAUCGGAAUUACUGGGCGUAAAGCGCGCGUAGGUGGUUAGUUAAGUUGGAUGUGAAAUCCCCGGGCUCAACCUGGGAACUGCAUUCAAAACUGACUGACUAGAGUAUGGUAGAGGGUGGUGGAAUUUCCUGUGUAGCGGUGAAAUGCGUAGAUAUAGGAAGGAACACCAGUGGCGAAGGCGACCACCUGGACUGAUACUGACACUGAGGUGCGAAAGCGUGGGGAGCAAAC